rnacentral:rRNA from 1 species
UGGUGGAGUGAUUUGUCUGGUUAAUUCCGAUAACGAACGAGACCUUAACCUGCUAAAUAGCCAGGCCGGCUUUGGCUGGUCGCGGGCUUCUUAGAGGGACUAUCGGCUCAAGCCGAUGGAAGUUUGAGGCAAUAACA